rnacentral:lncRNA from 1 species
CUGAGACUCAACCAAACAAACAAGUUCCUGUUUUAGUGAACUUUGAAUUUGGACUCAGGAGAGGAAGAUGGUUGUCAAGAAUACUGAACUUAAAGGAUGAUCAAUAACGGUCAGUAAAUGAGGAGAAGAAUCUGUGAUCUGGUGGUUUAGGUUUCAGUGAAAACAGUCAGAGUGAAAGUGAAAGUAUGUGAGCUGAAAAACAGACUCCAUUUUGAGAAAAGAAGAGAGAGGAGAGGACGAGGAGACAGGGUGAGUGUUUACUCUGUUUUAGUUUUAAUGUCAAACUCUUUAUCUGUUUUAUCUGUUAAUGAAAAAAUGAUUUACUGACUAAAACACUUAAAAACUGUAAAACAAAGAAACCUGAGCAGACAAAGAGCUGGAUCAGUUCUUCAUACAGGAAACUGUGUACGUGCAGUUCUUCCUCCUCUUUGUUUAGACUUGUCUUUUUGGUAAAAAUAUUAAUCAGAAUCUUUUUAGCGUCUCAUUUCAACUUUAAUCCAGUCUCCUUAAGUUUUUAUGAGAGUUCAGGGACCUCACAGCUGAUUUUGUUUUGACCAUGAAUCAGACAAGGAUCAGAGAGAGGCCCUGCAGGGUGGGGAGACAUCAGAAGUUCUUGGAUAUUAAACCUGUAUAACUCUUAAAGAGGGGGAUGAAGCUGUUUUUAGACUCUGUACUUCCUUUCUGAUUCCUCUUUUAUUUCUGAACUCUCUCUUCCUGUUUGUAUCUCACCUGUUUGUCUUCUUUGUCCUCAGGUUGUAUAACUCGGUUUCAGCCUCCAUAAAUUUGCACAACAGAAGAUGGAGAAGAUGAGUGUUGGUGUCGAGGAAGAGGAGGGCAGAGCAGAGUCUGAUAUGUUUGACUGUCUGUCUAUGAAGAGUGACCAGUCUAAAGGUUUUGAUAUAAACUUCAGUAAAGAACCAGGACCCCCAGAGGAGGACAGAACAAAGUCUGUUAUCUCCAGCUGUCUGUCUAUGAAGAGUGACCGGUCUAAAGAUCCUCCACCAAAAUUCAGUGAAGAACCAGGACCCUCAGAUUCACAGUAAGAGAAACACUUUUCAAUCACCAAACUCUCAAACAACAACAAUUGACGUUUCAAAUACAAAACUUUAAAUCCUGACCCCUCUGUUUUCUCCUCUGUUCUCAAAACACUGAUUUUCCUCUUAAACCUGCCAACCUGGAUAAAAUUCAAUUCAAUUCAACUUUAUUUAUAAAGCCCAUUUCAUGUACAAGGCAGACUCAAUGUUCUUCACAACAGGUGUACAUAGUUAAAAACAGUUAUACAAAAAUCAAUUAGAAAUCAAUGUAAGAGUGUAAGUGCAAGUCAACUUCACUGCAUGCACACUUAAACUCGUACAUGCGCACGCACUCACACAUGGACACGUGCACACGUACACACAUACACACACAGUUUAAAAGAAUGCUAUAGAAAUCUGUUUUUAAAGAUGGCUACUGAUGUGUCUAACUGUGUCAGGCAUGGUGUUCCAUUUUUGUGGGGCAUAAACACUCAAAGCUGCCUCCCCUCAUUUGGAUCUGGUGUGAGGGAUGAGUAAGUUGCCACUGCCUGUUGACCGAAGUGUUCUUGCUGAGGUGUAGGUGAUGAGCAUAUCUGUGAUGUACUGAGGUGCAAGGCCAUGUAGUGCUUUGUAAACCAGGAGGAGUAUUUUGAAAUCGAUUCUUGUCCUAACGGGUAACCAAUGUACAGAUUUGAGAACGGGUGUGAUGUGUUGAUAUUUUUUGGUACCAGUGAGAAUACAUGCAGCUGCAUUUUGAAUUAACUGUAACCUCUGAAGACUUGAUUUUGGGAGUCCAGUGAAUAAACCGUUAUCCAGUAGUAAUCCAGUCUACUUCUUAUAAAUGCAUGGAUGAAUUUUUCUAAGUCUGAUUUUGACAGAAAGCCCCUCAAUUUGGAGAUAUUUUUGAGAUGAUAGAAAGAUGAUCUUGAAUUGAAUCUUGUAAUGGAUAAAAGGCUGGUAAAGAAAAACUCACUGAGCACAGAUUUACUUAUUAUUGUUGAUGUUUAUAAAAAUGAAAGUCGUUUAAAACAGCAUUUGAAAAGGAUUCUGACUUCUUGUAUUUUCUGAUUUGGUUCCUGUGUUUGGGACGUUUUGAGCCUGUUAGUCUUUGGACUGUGGUCUGUAGACCCCAGAAAACAGUCUGUGGGUCACAAAAUACCAGAAGACCAAUGAAGAAAUAAAUCCUGAGAAAUAAAAACUCAUUCAGAGCAUCUGUCUGUUAUUAGACCUUUAGAUCUGAUCGGUGGAAAAAAAAGUUUUAAACUGUCAGAGAAAAUCUCUCUACCUUCAAAAUCACUUUAGUUUUUUCUCUUGUCACGACACUUCAGGCAGCAGCAGCUGAAUAUUUUACAGGAGAUUGUUUUAUGUUAGAGAAAAGAGAAACUCUGGUUUAAUAAAUGUUUCUUAUUCUGUAUCUUUCAAACAUGAAAUAAUAAAGAAAAUAAAUGUUCUUUAUUUCCACAGAGAGACACAGAGAUGUGACUCUGUGGAGGAGCAGCUGUCCAGAUGUUCUUUAUGUCAGGACGUCCUGAAGGAUCCAGUCUCUACCCGCUGUGGACACCAGUCUACUUCUUCAGGAUACACCUCCUGUCCCCAGUGUGGAAAAAGAACCAGAACAGUUCUUGUCUUUCAGACAGACAGCCAGUCCAGCUCUGAUCGAAGUAAGUCUGAACACCUUUAAACCCUAAAUUAUACAAUUUCUGCCAGAAUUAUUUUGCUUAUUUUAGCCAUAAAAUUGGCAGAAAAUGUCCUAUGAGUGAGUGCUUUUUUAUUCAUUGGCUUUCAACCCUGCAUGAGACUCGGCUCCUGUUUUAGUGUUUUAUGUUUUUUUUUUUUUUUUUUUUUUAUGUCUAUGCUUUUUUGUCUAUUUAUAUACAGCACUUUGGUUGGCUGUGGUUGUUUUAAAGUGCUUUACAAAUAAAGUUGAGUUUUACCCAUUUUUCCAGAACACUUCAAACUUUCAAUAUCUGGCUGUCAUUUACGAUUUACUGCCUGUUAAAAGAGUGCUAUAACAUUUUAAGAUAAAGAAAAACACAAAAACGGAAUACGAUUUUUUGAGUUUUAAUGAGAAAAAACAGAAAAUAUUCAUGAAAAACAGAUUUUUCAUUUGAAAUAAAAAAAAAUUAAAGAGUAUCAAACAUAUUUACAACAAAAACUUUGGAGUGCUGUCUCUCCAAGUGCAAAAACAGGCUAAAUAAAUACAACUAUGUCCACGCGUUUCUCCUCGUUUCUCCUCUCUCACUCAGAGGUCUUUGUGAAACUGUCAGAAGCUGUUCCUUUCUGUCUGCGGACACAGACCCACAUCACACCACUCACACUUCCAGGCAGUUCUCCUUAUGACAAAGUUUGCAGCGUCGUCUCCUCAUGCUAGUUCUUUGAGACUUCAUCUGUCCAUGGCUUGUUUGGGCACGUAGCUAUACUCUACUAUAAGCGAAGUGGAUGUAAUUCUCGGCGGGCAUGUGUUUCUCGGUACAACAUCAACGGUUGCAAAAUGAGAAAACGACGAGAAAACCGCCGAAGAUGAAGACUUGGUGGUAAGAAGAAAAGCAACGUCACUAACCUUUGAAGAUGAAGACUCGUUGAUUAAAAGAACGUCACUAACCAUAGAAGAUGAAGACUCGUUGAUUAAAAGAAAAGCAACGUCACUAACCAUUGUAGAUGAAUAUUCGUUGAUUAAAAGAAAAGCCACGUCACUUAUCUGUAAUUAUUUCGGUUACAAAAAGGAUGACGUCACCUAACACCUGUUCUGUGACGGCAGUGUCUUUCAUCUGUUUCCACAAUAACGUCCCAGCAGAACAAUAAAAACUAAAAAUAUCUCUAAGACAGACAGAAGCCAUUCUACUAACAUUCACUAAAAGAGGGAAGAUCAGUGCAGGUUAACUGUCCUCAAGAUUUCAGCAGAAAGUCAGAUUCAGAUCAUCUGCUAAAAAUUCCUCUAUUUUUUAAUAACGCUUAUAUAUCACAGGGUUGAACAACUUUGCAAUGUUAGUGUUUUCUAAUAUCAUGCUGUCUUAAUAGGCACACGUUACUACAAACUCACUGCCUUAGCAUGGUAUUCUAAUAAAGUCACAACAGGUUAUAAGUGUUGAUUUACUCAUAAAAUAACGUAAAUAAAUUAAAAACGACACAGAGAGCGCUUCAUUCAUCCAGAAACCAACACAGAAAACCAACCAGUCAAACUUUACCUUUCUCUGUCUGAAGUUGCUCUGAAAGCUUCUCCAUCUGUCCCAAAGUCGUCUGUAAACCUCAGUGGAGGUUUUCUCACUUGGGAGAGUUUAUCACAGACAUUUUCCUUUGAAAUAAUCCCUUUUUUGUCACUUUUCUCUCUUUUUGCUCCGUUUCUCUGCUCUGUUGUGUGUCUAUCCGCUGCUCCCUUUGAGAGGGGGAGAGGGGACGAGGAGACAGAUUUUCUCACUUCCCCAAACAGCAGGAGUGAAAUUACCGUAAUAACCGUUUAUUGACCGUGUGGCGCAACUUCUCAGCUUUCAGAAACCGUUGGAGAUUUUUUUUUGAUAGAACAAACUACCGCAAAGUUACGGUAAUUUAAAGAGCGCCUGUAUAAAGGUGUCGGCGCCGACGGACUGUGAGGAAAAGUCUGUGUGGAUGAAAACUCAGCUGACUGAUUUUCACAAAGACGUUUCAGUGUUGAGAAGUUUGGUUCAUUUUAUUUUUCUUCUCUUUCAGAUGAUGGCCUCCCGCAGGAGGUUUUAGAUGAACAUAAGAUCAGUCUGAAGAGGAGAUGUGAACGUGUGAAUGAAGGAAGUGAUGAAACAGGAAGUAGUCAAACCCUCCUCAACAGGAUCUUCACUGAGCUCUACAUCACAGAGGGACUGAGUGAAGAGGUGAACACCCAACAUGAGGUGAGACAGCUGGAGACUACUUCAAAGAUGAAGACCCUCCAUGACAUGCCCAUCAGGUGUCAUGAGAUCUUUAAAACCUUACCUGACCAACAGAAGAAGCUCAUCAGAGUGGUUCUGACCAACGGCGUGGCUGGUGUUGGAAAAACCUUCUCAGUGCAGAAGUUCACUCUGGACUGGGCAGAGGGUUUGGAGAACCAAGACCUCCAUCUGGUGGUCCUGCUUUCAUUCAGGGAGCUGAACCUGAUCAGAGAUGAGCGCUUCAGUCUUCUGAGUCUGCUCCAUGUUUUCCAUCCAACCCUAGAGAAGGUCACAGCAGAGACGCUGGCUGUCUGUAAACUUCUGUUCAUCUUUGACGGUCUGGAUGAAAGCAGACUGUCUCUGGAUUUCACAGACUCUGAGGUGGUGUCUGACGUCACACAGAAGUCUUCACUCAACGUUCUGAUAACAAACCUCGUCAAGGGGAACCUGCUCCCCUCAGCUCUCAUCUGGAUAACUUCUCGACCUGCAGCAGCCAAUCAGAUCCCUCCUUCACAUGUGGACAGGAUAACAGAAGUACGAGGCUUCACUGACGCCCAGAAGGAGGAGUACUUCAGGAAGAGGUUCAGAGAUGAAGAUCUGUCCAGAAGAAUCAUCCAACACAUCAAGUCCUCCAGGAGCCUCCACAUCAUGUGUCAGAUCCCGGUCUUCUGCUGGAUCACUGCGACAGUUCUGGAGGACAUGAUGAGAAGAAAGCAGAGAGGAGAGCUGCCCAAGACCCUGACUGACAUGUACUCACACUUCCUGCUGGUCCAGACUCAGAGGAAGAAGCAGAAGUAUGAAGGAGGACAUGAGACAAGUCCUCAGGAGCUGAUGGAUGCUGACAGUGACGUCCUCCUGAAGCUGGGGAGGCUGGCAUUGGAACAUCUGAACAGUGGAAACAUCAUGUUCUACCAAGAAGACCUGGAGCGGUGUGGUCUGGAUGUCUCAGAGGCCUCAGUGUACUCAGGAGUUUGUACAGAGAUCUUCAGAAGAGAGAGUGUGAUCUUCCAGAAAACUGUUUACUGUUUCGUUCAUCUGAGCGUUCAGGAGUUUCUGUCUGCAGUCUACAUGAUCCACAGUUUCACAACCAGGAACACAGAAGCUCUGAAGACUUUCCUAAGAAGCAACGAUGAUGAAGAUAAAAUGUCUUCUUCAGAGAUGGUUGACAGAUUUUUUCAAAACCUGGAUUAUUUUUUCUCAUCUCAGGAUGUCUUCCUGAAGAGUGUCAUGAUGAAAUCCCUUGUCAGUAAAAACGGUCACCUGGACCUGUUUGUUCGCUUCCUUCAUGGACUCUCUGUGGCGUCAAACCAGAGACUCUUAGGAGGUCUGCUGGGUCACACAGACAACAGUCCAGAAAUGAUCCAAACAGUCAUCAAGAACCUGAAGGAGAUGAACAGAGAAGAUAUCUCUCCUGACAGAAGCAUCAACAUCUUCCACUGUCUGAUGGAGAUGAACGAUCUGUCAGUUCAUCAGGAGAUUCAAGAGCUCCUGAAGUCAGGGAACAAAUCAGAGAAGAAACUCUCAGUGUUCCAGUGCUCUGCUCUGGCCUACAUGCUGCAGAUGUCAGAGGAGGUUCUGGAGGAGUUGGACUUAAAGAAUUAUAAAACAUCAGACCAGGGACGACGGAGACUGAUCCCAGCUGUGAGGAACUGCAGAAAGGCUGUGUGAGUCCAGGUUUUAUUCUCAGAAUAGUGUAAAUGAUCCCUGUAGUUCUUCUAAUGUCCACGUUACUGAUGAUGUUCUUCUUCAAAUAGAAAUCCACUCAAAUAUCAGGGAGGGGGUUUCUUCAGCAAAAACAUGAUCCUGGUGUCUAAAGUCCUGUUAGUCCAGGAUGAGGUCUACCCGUGGACCCCUGAGAACUUGUCCUAAUUGUGGAGGACCUCUUUGUUUUGAAUCGUGUCUGUAAUGAAUAAAGUGGAACUUUGAGGACAAAUCAGCGACCAUAUCUGAGGACACACAGAGGUCUUCUGAUGAUGGUAUCAGUCCAGAUCAACAUCUCAGUCAGUUGUGGUGAACUUGAGUUUGAAGAAGGUGUCUGCAGCUUCUUCCUGCUGGUUUUCAGGUUGGAAAUGAUGAAUCAGUUGUAAAUGAGGGUGUUGACAGCAUUGAUGGUGAAAAUAGAACUGGAUCAUUUUCUACACAGUGGCAGAACUGUCUUCAAAGAAAUGUUUUUAUCUGAACCAAACAGAGAAACAGGAGCUGCUGUGAUUUAGUGAGUCGUCUUCUGAUUGGUCAACAGUCAGUGCCUUACAUUAUAGCAGGAUGUCAACACUAAACACUGAGAGGAGCAUAAGUCAUGGAGUCAUUUGUCUUGAACAUCUAAACAGUUUUUUUUUUCUUCUAAACUUGGACUUCCUGUCUUCUCUCAUGGCUGUGGUCCUGAUAUUAGUAUCUGUCUGGUUAGAAACAGGCCGUCUGUCAAACCAAAGAUCAUGUUUGAGUUGUUUUUGGGGAAGAGAAACAUCAAAUAACCCUUUAAUAAAAUAUUGUUUGAUAUUUAUGUUGUUACAGAUUUUCUCUCUGUGGACUCUCAAAGACUCACUGUGAAGUUGUGGCCUCAGCUCUGAAGUCCAACCCCUCCCAUCUGAGACAUCUGGACCUGAGUAACAACGAGCUGAAGGAUUCAGGAGUGAAGCUUCUCUCUGCAGGACUGGAGAGUCCAAACUGCAGACUGGAGACUCUGAUGUGAGACACCAUUUCCUUCUGAUCUAACAAUAAGAUGUGACAGCUGCUGCCUUAGAUUUUUCUCUGUGGUUUUUCCAUCAACUUUGGUCGAGCAGUUUGAAUUUGUCGUUGUAAAACUUCGACACAGGAAGAAAAAUCUGACAUUUCAGAGUUGACUUUGAGGAGAACGAUGGAUGUAGAAAGGAAGCAGGAGAAAAUCAGUCCCACAAAUAUUACACAUGCUUGUAGAGGGCAGGAGCAGCACAGACUAAAGGCUGAUACUGAACUGAUCCACAGUUAAUGUGAUCACCAAUGAAUGAAUGAAGUGUCAGAGAAAUGAUGAGCUGCAGAUUGAAACCUGAAGAACAAAGUUAAUCCAACUCUGGAUAUUUCAUUUGGAAACUCUUGAAAACUUGAAUUUCUUCUUUGCUCAGUCGUGUUCAAAUGUAAAAACCAGAUCCAGAUUUGUCUGCAGUUUUCACUUCAGUUUGUUGAACAUGAACAUCAUCUUGUCCAGCUGGUCCAUAAAAACCUCUCUGAUCAAUGAUCUGUUGGUUUAUUUAAGAGUAGUUUGGCAGUUGUUGACAGCAGACGGACAGACCCCUGAAUAAACUCCUGACUGUUUUCAUCUUCAUGAAGAAUUCAGGACUACAAAAGAACCUUUGAGAUUUCUCACAGGAGUUUCUCAGGAUCUCACUAAAGUUUUCUGUUUCUGUAAAAUUUUCUUGACUGAUAAAUUCCUCUGGAUCUUCAAAAAGUUUAGAGAAGAUUUUACAAAGUUCCUGAAGAUCAACUCUGAAAAAGUUCUUCUUCCGUGUCCUUCAGGGUUCAAGAACAUUGAAUCAUUAAAAACAGGAACAGUUUCUUCAGAGGUUACAUGAUUUUUUUCUUUUUUCAGACUGUGACAGGUGUUUAUUAGUCUUUUUGACACGUUACAAUAAUGAGGAUAAAGUCAUGGACUAAACUUGGGCUCCCAGUUUCCUUGUUGUUGUUUCUUCAGCUAGCAUCAUUGUUUUCAUCACAGUUCUUAAAGUAAUAAUGAUGCUUCAUAAAUUCAGAGUCACAAAAAAACACCAAACAAACCAAAUCUGAAAAAAAUCCACUUUUUCAUCAAAUGAGUUUAAUCGGUCAGAACAUGAGGUUUGAGUUUUCAUGAGGAGGAAACGAGAAAGAUCUGCUCUGACAGUGAGAAACACAGACGCCUGAAUCUACACUGACAGACACACAAAUACAGACAGAGAGACACAGACAGAGAGACACAGACACAGACACACAAAUACAGACACACAGAGACACAGACACACAAACAGACUAACAGAGAUUUUCUUCUUCGUCUCUUUGCUGUGAUGACUGAAGUCACAAAAACAAAGUUUUCUUCGUCACUUUUAUGAUUGAACCAAAUAAGUUAAAGAACCAAACUCUCAGAUUUUCUUCUUCUCAAUAUUAUUUGAACCAUUUAGAUUUUUCUCCUGAUCAAUAUUCAAUGAUCAGAUUGAUCAGGUUCCUGUUUUGGCUCCACUGCCUCUUUUCUGCAGCUCAAUAACUGCUCAUAUGGUUUGAAAGGUUCCUGCAGUAAAACCCGAUUAGAGAGUGGACUAAAUGAAAUGUGAGUGAACUCAGCCAUCAGUGAAUCAAUGACAAAGUGAGAGGAAGAGUGGAUCUGUCUGCUGUCUGACCUUGUUGAUCCUGAUGAAGGUGAGGGAGAAGAGUAAAGCAGUAAAGGUGAUGUUGUUGCAGACAGAGUCAGCUGACCUGUCUCAUCAGAGUCUCAUCCAUUCUCUGUUUGGCAGAGCGCUGAUGUUACAGUCUGAGAGCACAUUCAGGUUCAGCUUCACAUGGGCUGGAUCUGCUCAAUACAAACUCUUGAGACCAGCCUGGUUGAGGGAGGUGGGCUCAGUGUCCUGGGUGACUCUCUCUGAGCUCUUCUUGGUUGAGAGUAUUUCUGGUUUGUCUCUGACUUCCAUGAACUCAGAUCUGGAGGAUUGCUGGCUGGUCCGGUCCAGUUCUGACAGUAGAGACAACACAGUCUGUUAUUCUGGGUUGAGUGUUCUUGUUGAAGAUCAGUGUACAGUGAGGGAUGAAGGCAGACAAAGAUCCUCCUGUUUCCUCCAUGUCACAGUUCAAGUUCAUUUUGAAGACUUUGAUUGAUACGAGCGCUGAAGAGGAACAGGAAACGUGGAGUAGAGAGUGAGGGAGGACUUACAGCAAAGGAUCAUGGGAGUCCAACCAGCAACUGCUGCAACAAGGACUCCACCUUCUGAUCAUCUGAACCUCUAAUCCAAACCAGUGCUCCAUCACAUUUGAUGUCUUGUCUGUUAUUUUACAUGGAGGGUCAGAGCAGACCAGAUCAUGAGCUCUGACAGACUGGAUCUGGUCCAAAGGUCUCCUGUUGGAGUUCUCUAAGCUCCAUAUUUUAAUCCUGAACACCUGAAGUUUGAUUAUUAAUUAUUUUUAUCUUCAUUCUCUUUCCUUUUUUCAGAUUGUAUAAAUGCAGUUUGUCAGAGAUCAGCUGUUCUUCUCUGGCCUCAGCUCUGAAGUCCAACCCCUCCCAUCUGAGAUAUCUGGACCUGAGUUACAACAAUCUGCAGGAUUCAGGAAUGAAGCUGCUGUGUGACUCUCUGCAGAGUCCAAACUGUAAACUGGAGACUCUGAGGUGAGACACCAUUUCCUUCUGAUCUAACAAUAAGAUGUGACAGCUGCUGCCUUAGAUUUUUCUCUGUGGUUUUUCCAUCAACUUUGGUCGAGCAGUUUGAAUUUGUCGUUGUAAAACUUCAACACAGGAAGAAAAAUCCGACAUUUCAGAGUCGACUUUGAGGAGAACGAUGGAUGUAGAAAGGAAGCAGGAGAAAAUCAGUCCACAAAUAUUACACAUGCUUGUAGAGGGCAGGAGCAGCACAGACUAAAGGCUGAUACUGAACUGAUCCACAGUUAAUGUGAUCACUAAUGAAUGAAUGAAGUGUCAGAGAAAUGAUGAGCUGCAGAUUGAAACCUGAAGAACAAAGUUAAUCCAACUCUGGAUAUUUCAUUUGGAAACUCUUGAAAACUUGAAUUUCUUCUUUGCUCAGUCGUGUUCAAAUGUAAAAACCAGAUCCAGAUUUUUCUGCAGUUUUCACUUCAGUUUGUUGAACAUGAACAUCAUCUUGUCCAGUUGGUCCAUAAAAACCUCUCUGAUCAAUGAUCUGUUGGUUUAUUUAAGAGUAGUUUGGCAGUUGUUGACAGCAGACGGACAGACCCCCUGAAUAAACUCCUGACUAUUUUCAUCUUCAUGAAGAAUUCAGGACUACAAAAAAACCUUUGAGAUUUCUCACAGGAGUUUCUCAGGAUCUCACUAAAGUUUUCUGUUUCUGUAAAAUUUUCUUGACUGAUAAAUUCCUCUGGAUCUUCAAAAAGUUUAGAGAGGAUUUUACAAAGUUCCUGAAGAUCAACUCUGAAAAAGUUCUUCUUCCGUGUUCCUUCAGGGUUCAAGAACAUUGAAUCAUUAAAAACAGGAACAGUUUCUUCAGAGGUUACAUGAUUUUUUUCUUUUUUCAGACUGUGACAGGUGUUUAUUAGUCUUUUUGACACGUUACAAUAAUGAGGAUAAAGUCAUGGACUAAACUUGGGCUCCCAGUUUCCUUGUUGUUGUUUCUUCAGCUAGCAUCAUUGUUUUCAUCUCAGUUAUUAAAGUAAUAAUGAUGCUUCAUAAAUUCAGAGUCACAAAAAAACACCAAACAAACCAAAUCUGAAAAAAAUCCACUUUUUCAUCAAAUGAGUUUAAUCGGUCAGAACAUGAGGUUUGAGUUUUCAUGAGGAGGAAACGAGAAAGAUCUGCUCUGACAGUGAGAAACACAGACGCCUGAAUCUACACUGACAGACACACAAAUACAGACAGAGAGACACAGACAGAGAGACACAGACACAGACACAGACACACAAAUACAGACACACAGAGAGACAGACACACAAACACAGACUAACAGAGAUGUUCCUCUCUGUCUCUUUGCUGUGAUGACUGAAGUCACAAAAACAAAGUUUUCUUCGUCACGUUUAUGAUUGAACCAAAUAAGUUAAAGAACCAAACUCUCAGAUUUUCUUCUUCUCAAUAUUAUUUGAACCAUUUUGAUUUUUCUCCUGAUCAAUAUUCAAUGAUCAGAUUGAUUAGGUUCCUGUUUUGGCUCCACUGCCUCUUUUCUGCAGCUCAAUAACUGCUCAUAUGGUUUGAAAGGUUCCUGCAGUAAAACCCGAUUAGAGAGUGGACUAAAUGAAAUGUGAGUGAACUCAGCCAUCAGUGAAUCAAUGACAAAGUGAGAGGAAGAGUGGAUCUGUCUGCUGUCUGACCUUGUUGAGCCUGAUGAAGGUGAGGGAGAAGAGUAAAGCAGUAAAGGUGAUGUUGUUGCAGACAGAGUCAGCUGACCUGUCUCAUCAGAGUCUCAUCCAUUCUCUGUUUGGCAGAGCACUGAUGUUACAGUCUGAGAGCACAUUCAGGUUCAGCUUCACAUGGGCUGGAUCUGCUCAAUACAAACUCUUGAGACCAGCCUGGUUGAGGGAGGUGGGCUCAGUGUCCUGGGUGACUCUCUCUGAGCUCUUCUUGGUUGAGAGUAUUUCUGGUUUGUCUCUGACUUCCAUGAACUCAGAUCUGGAGGAUUGCUGGCUGGUCCGGUCCAGUUCUGACAGUAGAGACAACACAGUCAGUUAUUCUGGGUUGAGUGUUCUUGUUGAAGAUCAGUGUACAGUGAGGGAUGAAGGCAGACAAAGAUCCUCCUGUUUCCUCCAUGUCACAGUUCAAGUUCAUUUUGAAGACUUUGAUUGAUCCGAGCGCUGAAGAGGAACAGGAAACGUGGAGUAGAGAGUGAGGGAGGACUUACAGCAAAGGAUCAUGGGAGUCCAACCAGCAACUGCUGCAACAACGACUCCACCUUCUGAUCAUCUGAACCUCUAAUCCAAACCAGUGCUCCAUCACAUUUGAUGUCUUGUCUGUUAUUUUACAUGGAGGGUCAGAGCAGACCAGAUCAUGAGCUCUGACAGACUGGAUCUGGUCCAAAGGUCUCCUGUUGGAGUUCUCUAAGCUCCAUAUUUUAAACCUGAACACCUGAAGUUUGAUUAUUAAUUAUUUUUAUCUUCAUUCUCUUUCCUUUUUUCAGAUUGUAUAAAUGCAGUUUGUCAGAGAUCAGCUGUUCUUCUCUGGCCUCAGCUCUGAAGUCCAACCCCUCCCAUCUGAAACAUCUGGACCUGAGUUACAACAAGCUGCAGGAUUCAGGAGUGAAGCUUCUGUGUGAAUUUGUGCAGAGUCCAAACUGUAAACUGGAGACUCUGAAGUGAGACUUUUUCCCUCCAUUCAAACAUGAUCAUGAUUUGUUUGUGAUGAUGACACUAAACUGCUGACUCAGGACUGAAAUACUGACCCAGACUGAACACCUUCAGUCCAGAGUAGAUUUUCUUCAUCAGUGGAUUAUUUGAUUGACUCCAGUUAGAUCACUGCUGAGCUCCAGUGAAUUAAAACCUGAACCCAAGAAGAAAACUCUUUGUAGAGUUCACAGUGAGAAGCUCAUUCAGACAGAAAACAGAAGCAGGGGGAGAUUUGUCAGAUGAGAACCAUUCAAACUUUUGUUCAGGACAAGAUCAGGGAAUAGAAAAAACUCAGAGUUUAGUUUCUGACACUGAUGAAAGUCCAGCUCUGUUACUUUGAAUUUUGUUUUUGAAUCUUUGUGUGAAAAUCUGAAUUUUCUGGUUUAUCUGCACUUUUCUGAAGCCUUACUGUGUUUAGACUGAAAUAUUUACCUCUCAAAGACGUGAAAUUUUUGGUUCAGCAAAGUGAAAAUAUUCUGAACAUCCUUUGUUUCCCAUCCGUCCUGAAGUCACUGACAUUUUCUGAAAAUAUUGAGCUGCAUCUACAAUCAGUAAAAAAGUCUCUGAGUUUUUUAUUUCACUAUUUAAUGUGUUUUUGAAUUCACUGUUUCAAACUGACUUCCUGUUUGGUUCAGCUCUUUGGAGCGUCACUUUUCUCUGAUUUAUACUUUCCAAACCUUUCCCCUGAACUCUACAGAUUUAAGACAUCAGGUUUCAAACUGGAUCAUUUUUCUCUAAAAUCUCAUUAUUUCCUCUUUAUUUAGGUUAAUGAGCUGCAGUUUGACGAAGAUCAGCUGUUCUUCUCUGGCCUCAGCUCUGAAGUCCAACCCCUCCCAUCUGAAAACUCUGUGGCUGUAUGGAAACAAUCUGCAGGGUUCAGACAUGAAGCUGCUGUGUGAUCUUCAGAAGAGUCCUGACUACAGACUGAGGACUCUGAAGUCAGUAUAGAGUUGGAGUUAGUCUGUGCUGAUCUCUCCUGUUCCUCUCCACACAGUAUCACAGCAGAUAUUCAGUAUUUCCUGCUGACUCUUCGACCCUCUCAGAGGAUUAUCUCUUUAGUGAAGCUGUGAGAACAGAAAUCAUCAAACCAGGAGUGUAAGAGUGUCAGUGAUGAAAAAAGUGUCUCCUCGUCUCUAUAUUUCAGAUCAAAUGUAGAAAUGAGACAUAAUGAAACAGAAAUGUUCAGUUUCUGCUCUGAAGUCCAGUUUAUAGUUCUCUGUAUUCAACACAGACUUUAUUUCUCUGCUAACUUGUUGAUUUUGAGCUCUAAGUCUGAAAACAGACAGCUGUUCUUUAUACUUGUUAUUUUCACAGCAGGUUUGUUCGAUCAGCUUUAACACAUUUGACAGGAAUGAUUUCUUUAUUUUGAUGAUGUUGGUUUAUUUGUGAGGAAACCUGCUGCUUUACACCAUCACUUCUGGUCUGAGCAGGACUGAGACCUGCUGGUCUGUAAACUGGAUGUUCUUCAGUCCAGCUGAUGAAGUGAGUCUCAGAGUGGAAACACUGAUCGUCUUUUUUUCUCUCCUCAGAUGGAGUUAACAUCUGUCAGAGUGAUUAAGAAGAGGAUCAUGUGUUUCCUGACGAUCAGAGAGGUGGAGGCAGCAGCAGUGAGGGUGAGGUGAGUCUCUGACUGAGAGACUGACUGACCAAUCACAGCGGGCGGAGAGGACUCUGGGAGCUGCACUUUGACCUGCUCUGAGAUCAGCUCAGGACCUGGACUCUGGAUAUUUGAUAUUUUCCCUCAUAUUCUGGGAUCAAACAGUCUGAACAGGUUUGUUUUGUUGAUGGAAACAUGAUCAUAAAUUUACACUUUGAUUGGAUUACUUUGUUUUCACCAUGAUGCAGCGCCACCCAGUGGAAAUAUAAAGAGGUGGAGUUGAUUUAUUCCCUCAUAUUUCUGCAGCAGGAGUUGAUACCAUGUGUGAGAGUAGAUCAGUCAGAAGUUCAGAUUAAACCCAAAGGUUUUUUCUUUCCUUUGCACCGUUACAGACCGAAUAUAAACUGAAGGGAGAGGAAGAGAAGUGAGGAGAGAUGGAGGUGAAGGGAGGAGGAGGACAGGGUUUGGGGUUUUAACAAAAAUCUGAAGCUUUAUUCUUUCACUUGAUUAUUUUUAUUCAUCCGUUUUCUUCUUCAUUUUCUGAAAUGAUUGUAAAUAUUGACUGGAGGUAAAUUUGUCUUAUUUAAUAUUAUUAGACACUAUUUUCCGUCUCUUUACAUGUUUUUGUUCUCAUAUCAUCUUUGUGCUCAUCAAUAAUCGAUUCCCUCCAGUUUGAACAAAUACAAUUAUUAAACCAUAAAUGAGACCUGAGAGUAAAAUUAAAAUGUGUGAAAUAUAAUCAGUCAAAAGAAAGAUUCUUGAACAAAAACAAAAUCAUUAUUUUUACUUUAUUAUGAUGGAGAAGUUUUCCUCUGACAGACAAAAAUAACCGUAUUGACUGGAGUCUGGAAAAAGUGAGAUCAGCAUCUAUUCAGGGUGAAGUCAUUAACGUGGUCGAUGCUGUUUUAUAAACUCAGUGUUGUUGAUUACAAUCUCAGCUUCAUAAACUGAUGCUACAGCUCAUGUCACAGUCUGCUCACACCACAGAAACAUUAAACAUAGAACUAUUGUGAACAGAUUUGUCCUCUUCAGCUAAUCUACUAUCAAUAGAUCUGUGCUCUGUCUGUGUAACACUAUGUUGGUUCUUCAUUUACUCCAGAUCAUUUUUUUAUGUCAUUUCACUGUAACAAUGUCAUUUAAAGAUAAUAAAAACUUUAUUUGAACUAAAACAUGUUAAAAACAUCAACUCAGCUUGUUUCAUUUACUGUGUGCAAUUGAUUAUUAUUAUUUUUCAUUCAAACAGAAACUAGAUUUGGUCUUUAAAAAGUCCUCAAAGUGAG